rnacentral:lncRNA from 1 species
GAGAGGAGAAAGAAAGGGGUGAAACCCUAAUUCAUGAGCAGACCUUCAAAUUGAAAGGGGAAUUGAAGCCUAGUUGAAUGCAUGAACUAAGAAUGAUGAUCCUCUAAGCAUACCCAACAUCAAGGUGGCAAAUUGUGGAGUUGGGAUUGCUUAUGUGAAUGAAUGGGAACGUGUCAAGGAGAGGUCAAGCAUAGGAGGAUAACGGGUCAAGAUAAAGCAAGGUGA